GCGAGGGUAGUCAAGCCAGGUCAACGGCGCUGGAUUUAGGGUCCAGUCUCGAAGGAGUUCAAGGGUUCGAAUCCCUUCCCUCGCA
rnacentral:tRNA from 1 species